GACGAACGCUGGCGGCGUGCUUAACACAUGCAAGUCGAACGGAAAGGCCCUGCUUUUGUGGGGUGCUCGAGUGGCGAACGGGUGAGUAACACGUGAGUAACCUGCCCUUGACUUUGGGAUAACUUCAGGAAACUGGGGCUAAUACCGGAUAGGAGCUCCUGCUGCAUGGUGGGGGUUGGAAAGUUUCGGCGGUUGGGGAUGGACUCGCGGCUUAUCAGCUUGUUGGUGGGGUAGUGGCUUACCAAGGCUUUGACGGGUCGCCGGCCUGAGAGGGUGACCGGCCACAUGGGGACUGAGAUACGGCCCAGACUCCUACGGGAGGCAGCAGUGGGGAAUAUUGCACAAUGGGCGGAAGCCUGAUGCAGCAACGCCGCGUGCGGGAUGACGGCCUUCGGGUUGUAAACCGCUUUCGCCUGUGACGAAGCGUGAGUGACGGUAAUGGGUAAAGAAGCACCGGCUAACUACGUG
rnacentral:rRNA from 1 species